GACGAACGCUGGCGGCGUGCUUAACACAUGCAAGUCGAACGGAAAGGCCCUGCCUUUGUGGGGUGCUCGAGUGGCGAACGGGUGAGUAACACGUGAGUAACCUGCCCUUGACUUUGGGAUAACUUCAGGAAACUGGGGCUAAUACCGGAUAGGAGCUCCUGCUGCAUGGUGGGGGUUGGAAAGUUUCGGCGGUUGGGGAUGGACUCGCGGCUUAUCAGCUUGUUGGUGGGGUAGUGGCUUACCAAGGCUUUGACGGGUAGCCGGCCUGAGAGGGUGACCGGCCACAUUGGGACUGAGAUACGGCCCAGACGCCUACGGGAGGCAGCAGUGGGGAAUAUUGCACAAUGGGCGGAAGCCUGAUGCAGCAACGCCGCGUGCGGGAUGACGGCCUUCGGGUUGUAAACCGCUUUCGCCUGUGACGAAGCGUGAGUGACGGUAAUGGGUAAAGAAGCACCGGCUAACUACGUG
rnacentral:rRNA from 1 species